ensembl:lncRNA
CGUGUUUCCACACACUUGCAGUGUGAUUUUUGUGAGGUAAACCAAGUUAGACAAGGCUCAACUCCUAAUGCGAUUGAUUAACCAAUUACUCUCCACCACCAACGGAACGUAAAAUGCCAAUAAAAAGAAAAUCUAUUUCAAUGAGAAAGUGUGUCCAGGUUUUUUACUGGCACUGUAAUGGUGAAGGAAUUUUGGGAUAGCACUAACAUGAGACUGGAUAAUCAAAGAAGAGCCACAGCCAGAUGUGGAUGUUCGUAGUGUUAAAUCUUAUGUUCUAUGUAAAUUUGAGUAUUUCUCUGAAAUUGGAACUGAAGGAUGUGACUCAAUCAGUGAUGACAAAGGCAGCUGGAGAUGCUGCAGUAAGAACAAGUUUGAACCACUAGUUGCUUUUGUUGAGAGAUAGUGAGGUAGUUUUCAAUAUAUCUCUCAUUCAUAAGCAAAAAUGUAUCUUCUUCAGCAUUGUUGUUGUUCAAAUACUUAGCACAUAUAUAUAGUUCACCAAAUUAAGGAUUUUAAAAGUUAUUCAACAAAAGUAAGGAUGGAUGAUUGCGGAGGAUUCCAUAAAUUGUAACCUCAUUCGAUCACAGCAUCAAUAUUUUGCUGUUUCAUCUCCAACAGUGGAGGAAGGGACUGCAAUGAUCCAAGGGAUGACCGAUACGGAUCUCCACUUCGAUCCUAGGCAGAUAAUUAUGAGCCAAAGGGUCUAGGAAAGGAAUCCGGAGGUUCAAAACAAAACCUGAAGCUGACAUUUCAAAUGCUGGACAACCUGAAGGUCAUUCCUGCCAACUGGUUACUGCCCCAGACAAAGUGGGGUUACCCUGGGCUAUGGAGAGAAAGUUUUAAAGGAAGAUGAACAGUAAUGAUGAGGAAUGAAAUAUGGUUUUCAGGGAAAGCACAAGGAAAGCAUUGGUGAGAGCAUAUUGUAACCACAAUGACUAUUCCUGCUCAAACAAGCAAUCAGUGUGGGAUGAAAAAGUGAUUUAACGAACCAUAACAGACAGGCAGUGGAUUUUGUGUUGUGUGUGAGGGCCACUCUAGAUCAAAUAUUUUGGGGGAUGCCAGCAGAUCUGAAAAAAAACAGACUUGUAUUUUUAAUAGAUGUGUCUGUCUCUGCAAACAAACCCAGGCGAUCAGUAAAUCAAGUCUCCUUUAAAUUAAAAGCAAUGCCUAAAGCAGAAGUGUAAUUACGAUUUAAUAACAGAAAUCCAUGAUCCAGAUCACUUCAGAGUCCCGAGGCUUCUCUGGCUAUCCCAUUUAAUAGAAAAAGAACCACUGUCUGAGAUAUGUUUAUAAAGUCAAUACAACUAAUGAAUUUCCUUUGUGACUGUAAUAAUUUCCAGAUACUGCAGUAUGGUGUAUUAUAAAACAGAGAAUGGGUUUUCAAAGGUGAACUCCAAAAAGGCAGAAGCAUCCCUCUCCAGGGGUAUCCCUUCUCCCUAAGGUUAUUUUUCUUCCCAUUCAAGGUGCUUUUUAUUUUUUGCGUAACCACGCAUCCUUUGGGGGGGGUUUGUACUGAUUUAAAAAGGCAAACAACUGGUGUUGAAUGAACCCUCAGUUGUCAAUAUGUAAUUUCCUCAAGAAACUGUCUGCACUUUUUGGUCUUCAAAGACUUUCGAAGGAAGUAGAUUAAGGCUUCCCUCUGCUCUUUAGGUUCAUCUCUACUUGUCUGAACUUGAAGCUUUAGCCCAGUUGGCUGAAGUGCAUCAAUCAUCUGGAGCUCAAUAAGACGGUUUAGAUGGUCCUGUAGUAGUGUUUCCCACCCAACACGAUGGCAUGCUGUACAUUUGUAUUAAAGUUGGAACCACAUCAGCAAACCACUGAAACCCACACAGCAAAUGACCUUAAUAGAAACAGAUCUUGCCGGUCUGCCAAAGGUUUUGUUUUUUGUAUUUUGUUAGUGUAGCAAAAGAGUACUCUUACAAUGUAUGCAGGAGCGUUCACACCAGAAGGGAAGAGAAUUUACUUUAUGCUUUACUCACCCGACUAGUUGUACACAGUACAUUUUGCAGUGUUAAAGUAACACUCAGAGUUACAUUUAUCACUAUUCCCGAGUGUAUUUGGUCUGAAUCCGAGUUGAAUUAACUCUCGUUCAAGUGGUGAAAUUUUAGAGUUAAAUUAACUCUAAAUAGAGUAAAAAUGUAACACUACUUAACACGAUAUAGUGUCAAUGAAAUAACUAAUAACCUGGAAUUCAACCCCGUGGGCCUAAACACUGACGUGGGCACUGACACUACUGCCCCGCUGAGCCCCGGUGCGUUUCGCUUAACAAACGGUUCAUAAGAGGAAGGAAACAUAUUUUCUGCUGUAUUUUGGGGGGGGGCACGACCCACCCCCCAAAGGAUGCGUUGUUACGCCCUUGCUCUAUGGUAGUGCUAAACCACUACGGAUGUAAUAUAUCUUUUCAGGGAGGACUUCGUCAAAGUAUAGCGUCUAGAAAGUGCAAAAAAUAUAGGGAAUAUUCACACAAAAAUAAUAACUGACUUCCUAAUUUUAGAGCAUGGUCCCAAGUGACUUUAAGUCUUAAGAUAUAUCCAGAAAUUGUCAUACAUGUACAGUUGCAAUCAAAAUUAUUCAACCCCCCAUUCAACAUUAGUUUUAUUGGCAAAAUAUACAAUUUAUCAGCUGUUUGCAAUAAACAAAUUACACAAGAAUUGUUUAAGUACUUUAAUGAAACUAAUAUUACAAAGGUUUUAUUCAAAUCAACACAAAAUGCUACUUUUAAUGACUUUAAUGAAUUUACUGCAGUCUCAAAAUUAUUCAACCCCUUCGUGACAAGCCUCUCCAGUACUUCGUAGAGCACCCUUUGAAAUGAUUCAACUCCCUGUAUCAAGCACACCUGGUGCAACUAAUUAAGGGCUUCAUUAGUUCAGGUGUGCUUGAGAUAGAACACAUAAAUACCUGGUCUGGCUAGGGGUUUGUUCAGAGUGACGUUUGAUUGGAUGUUAGAAAUUAAGUACUGAAGAUGCUUGUCAUGAAGGGGUUGAAUCAUUUUGAGACUGCAGUAAAUUCAUUGUAGCAUUUUAGUAGCAAAACCUUUGUAAUAUUAGUUUCAUUAAACUACUUAAACAAUAAACCUAAUGUGCAAUGGGGGGUUGAAUAAUUUUGAUUGCAACUGUAGGUCAAACAGGGUGUUGGGGCUACUUCAUUGAAUAUUGCCAGGGGGCGCUAUGGAGGCAAUUUACCACUUUUUAGCCCAAACUCACACAUUAUCUCUGUAAUCUUAUUACCUAGGACAUGGACAUGAUAUUUCAGGAGUUUUUGAGUUUGCCAAGUCAACCAAAUGUUUGCUUGAACUUUCAUGCGAGGACCGUGUUCUCCCAGCAACAAAAUUUUUCAAAAGCUCCCAAUACUCACCAUGAACAAUAAUCAAAGGCUUAAAGCUUAUCUGCACACAAUUUGAGGUUGAUUAGAUAAAAGAAAUAGGAGUAGCUCAUCAAAGUGUAAAACCUUUGCAUUUCUCUGUGCCAAUAGGUGGCGUGGUCAUUUUUUUUAAAUCAGUGCAUGCGAAUACUUUAAGGCAUACACUAGCAUCAUGAAUAAGAAAUGAAAAUGUUCCUUUUGAGUUAUAACUUUUUCGAUUUUAAAUAAAAUUGACAAAUGGAUGCCAGGCCACGCCCAGGUAGUUGCACAAAGGCCGAGCGUUUAACCGGAUGUAAAGAGUUUCUCCCUCAGUCUAGCCGGGAAAGAGCACCAAUGAGACUGUGCACAUUUACCGGACCUCUCGCUGUGUGGAAGUCACGCUAAACUGUAAGUCAAUGAAAUGUAAUGUGUAAUAAUUAUUCAGAUAAAUGCUCAGCGUUUGCUGCUAUGCAUCAUUUAAUAUAGAUUCUCACCUGCUGUUCAUUAUAUCCUGUAAACGUAAUUAGAGAACAGUAAACUAUACUGUCUAUAUUUAGCUAUAAAUACUAAUAAUCAUAUUACGUUAUAUUGUGUAUACCUAUUGUACUAAUCACAUAUUAUAUAUUACAUUAUACUCUGUAUACUCUUCAUGCACGUCCUGAGAGAACAGUGAACUAUAAACGUUGUUAGCCAUAAAUACUCUACUUUAAUACAAGUGUCACGUCCUAUAAAUGCAUUUGUUAGUGUCACCACUUAGUUUAUAGUUGUGUAGACAUGUGUUUGGCUGCAUUAUUUACUACUAGUUGCAUAUCAGAUGUAACAUUACUUAAUUAAAAAAUGCUUAUCGUAUUACAGAUUAAACCACCAGCACUGUUUAAAGUCAGUGAAAUGUAAACACAUUAAUCGCUCAAUGAUUACGAUAAUGUAUGAUAUAUAUUGCAUCACAACUACUUUUGUUUCUAAUCCUUACGGUUUCAUUUGAUCCUCACUUUUUGCCUGUAGACUUUCAUUAAGUAAUUUGAAUGAAGGACUUCUACUUAUAAAUAUUUAUACAGUGUUACAGCAGGCUGUGGUGAUUAUAUAUAUAUAUAUAUAUAUAUAUAUAUAUUACUGUAGUACAAUAUCUGCACACUGUUCUCUUUCCACACUAAUUGAGAAAGACAGGCGAAUAUGGUCCUGUUUACAUAGUGUAAUGGUCAGAAGGGGAACUUCAAUGCACUUAUUAACAUGUCGUGCUCUUUGUCAUGACAGGGAAAUUGUGCACGUGGCGAGAGAUCUGGGACAGCAGGGAUGACGGCUCUGCACCCUUCAUGCUGAAGAAGAGCUGUGCAUCUUCAGAAGAAGCAGCCUUCUCCAUACACACAGAAGGAGAUGCACUUCAUCAUGUUUGCACUUCAGAUGUUCAUUUAAUGACAUUUUUAUUGUUGUAUGUUUACAUCACAGUGAAGGAGGAAGAUGAGGAGCUGGGGAGGCCCAUGUUGAACUCUCUCCUUUUAAAGCAUCAAGUGCAGCGCUGUGAGUAAACAUUUGCUCUCUUUUAAUUCUUUGUUUCUACCACAUGAAGAUACUCAAUCACUUACAGUUCAGCUGGUUUUCCAUAAACUGUAUUCUAUACCUGCAUUUUAAGAAUAUUCACAAAUAGUGUUCAUCAAAACUGUUGGGAAGUCUUUAAAGUGGUUUCUUUGUCGUCAAUUAGAAACUGUUUUCUGACUAAAUAGAGGGGGCACCGUUGUAUACAGCUGCAGCAACCUGUAGAUGUAAGCUUUCCUUCUUGCCAAGACACCGGUGUAAAUCAUUAAACAGCACAUUUAUUGAAUAAUACUUGCGAGCAGCAGACGGAACUGAGACACAAACAAAUGAUGCAUCGAGGCUGCUCAAAGGUCGUCUUCCCUGUCACUGGAGUGUGUAGCUGAAAGAUAAACAUAGUAAAAGAGGGGGUCUCUGGGAAACACCCGGUGAUAGUAAUCACCUUUUGGAUGUACGUCAUCAUUCUCUUCACCUAAGGACAUACAUUUACCUCACGAGUUCACUCUAUAUUAUCUGGACAUUGACACACAACAUCAGAGCACAAUGACAUUAGCUUUUCAGCAUCUUGGACAAGGUGUUUCAGCAUUUUACACAGUGGCAAUAAUGCUGCAAUUUGAUUGGCUCUCAACAAGUGCCAGCUAUCCAAGACCAGUGGUAAUGUAUUCUGUUUACAAAGCCAUAGACUCGGGUUUGAAUACCACUGCCAUUUCUGAUAGAACCAAUGCUACACAAACCUCUUCAGGAACUGCUAUUCUUUUUCAAAAACACACACCUAAGCCACGGCUGUAAGUCCUCACAGCUCAAUGAUACAUUAGCCCAUUACUUGAAUAAUACGUGUUUACUAUCACGGGAAUCCAGCUACCUUACAAGGUAUAAUCAAGUGUGACAGCAGAGUGGAUACAUUUAAUUAUGCAAAGCCAAAGUGUUUCUGUACUCUGUCAGAAUCAUUUUCUGACAGCUUAGUUCAGUUAAAAGUAAAAGUAAAAGCUGUAAUUCACAACAAGUUAUGUUGUAAAUGCCCUUUAUUGACUGAAGGAUGGUGGCAAUAUUAGCCCGGGACCUAUAAAUAGUUACUUGGCAGUUCAAUAGAUCAUGAUAAUAUAUCGGUUUGGUUUGUUAUCAACAUGGUCGACCUGGAUGAAUGAAACCGUAACAAUGAAAUUAGUGAAACUUUUGGAACAAAAUCCUAUGGCCUCCCCCACAGUAAAUGGUGAGCAGCUCUUAUAGGUUUUCACAAGCAGACUGCAUGAAAAGAAUAUUAACAGCAGACAAGGAUUCAGUCUGCAGAGCUGUUUGAGAGGUAGCGGUGUAUAAAUACAAUAUGUCUGCGUGUCAUGUGGCCGCGUAGAACUCUUGGGCAUUGUAGACUGAAGUUGUAAAUGUAUGAAAAGAUUCCAAAAUUUAAAAAGUAGUAUUGUUGAUGUGGCCUAAUUCCGCUGGAAACUCCUUGCUGAGAUAAAAUGGAUACAUCACUACACGCGAAUGUAGAUGAUGCGAAUACUUGCGUCUCUGCACUAUACGGUGUAUAGUGCUGCCUUUGUUCCCUGGAGUCCUUUCUGAACCACCCUAAAUCAAACAGUAGCUGUGAUAAAUGCCAUUCCCCCAUAAACAUUUCUAUAAAACUACUCCCCCACACCAACAGUCUACCCUCAUCGUUGGUAUAUUCCCUCCUAAUCCAUCCAUAUUUGGCUCUCUCACUACAACAACAGCUCUAAUCAGGCUUCGGUUUAUCCAGUGGAGGACUCAUUAGCUCUGGUCUUGUUUGAGUGGGCUUCAAACCAAGCGCCCCUACACCGCUUCCAACAGUUUCCAGCCACAAGGGAGGUGGCCAGUGUUUGCCAACUGUGCUCUGGUGUGCAUGCUCAUGGUCUGGCGGCGGUUCCGUUUAGAGUGUUAAAUUAUCAGAGGCGCCUUCUGCAAACUUGCCUCAGUCCAGCUACUCUUUUAGCAUGUUUGGCUGUUUCCUGUCCUCACUAGGAGAAUGUCAGUCCAGAUCUUCCAAAUACUUUCACAAAAACUGUGGAGGGCUGUGAGCAAAGCCUAUUCAAUUCAUAUGGUCAGCUCUUUGAAAGCAAAUCCACAAAAAUAAAUUCACACACACACACACACACACACAUACUAGACUGGUAUUCUGCAUUCCACAUGUCUAGCGAAGAACAGACAGACCAGACACUUGACCUUUUUUCACCAGACAGCCCUGACCCCAGUGGCUCAGUCUUUUACAACAUUCCCCCAUGUGUCACUGGUAGAGUGUUUACAUGCCAAAUGCGCAGAUGUGAGAAGAUGAGGUGAGAGAAAGACAAAUAGUACCAUCUUCACCCUCGCCCAAGUAGUUAAGUGGAGGAGAUUAUGUCCCAAGUAACCCCAACAUAGUUCCAGUUUCCUUCCUCUCUGUCUGCUACAAUCGUCAUACAAUAAAAUCCAGCCCCACCGGGCUGACUUUGCUAUUGUGAGAAUUACAGAACGGUCGUCAUGCAUGCCGGGUCGCUUCUGCUUCUUUUAUAUCGAUGCCCCCCCCCCCUCCGUAUCGUCAUCCACCGUGCACCCCCGUACCGUCCCUAAUGCCAUACUACCGUUCGGAUCGUAAGCGCCACCCCUCCAUAUGAUUUUAGUGGUCUGGCCCGCGUUCGAUCGAAGUGAGCAGUAUCUGGCUCGAACCUGAAAUGAGUUUUGACACCCCUGAUUUAUAAGAUUGAUAUAGAUCCAUCAACAAAAACUGCUUUGCAUCCCAUGUUGAGAUUCAGUAAGCUAACUUUUCUUUGAAGCUCCUUGUUCUUACUCUUGUAUAAGACUAGUGCAUUCAAGGGGGUAGUAGAACACUGAAUUGAACUGUGUGAAGAAACCUGCAGCCCUAUCUUCCUGAACCAGCAGACCCCUGAAAGCUAUCACAGUUACACAAAGGAGGGGAGCUAUAAUUGGCAGAGUUGGGCCGAACCAUGCAAUUAGCUUCAAGUGACAAGGCGGUCGGCAAGCUGAAAUUACCGUUUCUAGAGCGUCUCUUAGAGAAAACUGUCUCACAACCUUUCACAUGAGGAAGAAAAGAAACCGACAAAGACAGGAACAAGGAAAUGCUAGAGACAAAGCCCCUGCUUAAAAGCUUUACAUAAAGUGCAAUUUAAAGAAGGGUGAUGUAUCGAGUGAAGAAAUGAUAUUGAAAGUGAAUAACGAAGCAGAUGAAACGAUGGAGCAUUUUUUAUUUCAAUCAUUCUGCUUCAAAAUGGGAAUACGUUUUACAUGUGCAUUGUUAGAAUUCAUAUGUAAUUGGUGAUAUUAAAUAAUGUUCUCAUUAUGUAGUAUUGAUGGUAAAUUUUCCCUUUGUGCGGUUGGCCACCACAGCUCUAUGUACCGUAUUUUCCGCACUAUAAGGCGCACUUAAAAGCCUUUAAUUUUCUCAAAAAAUGACUCUGCGCCUUAUAAUCCGGAGCGCCUUAUAUAUGGAUCAAUUGGUUAAUUGGUUGAUCCAUACUUGUUGUACACGGCGCUCAGCCAAACAUGCCAAAGCUCGGUCUACGAUGGCGAGAUGCUGAGCGGCGCUCAAGCGCGUGAGAUAUGGAGCUUGUUUCAGGGCGCGUCGGAGAAACAAAGCUGUCGUUCUUGCCGAGCACUUAAUGAGAUUAAAAAGCGAGAGACUGCGCCCUUUUCUUUACAGUAGCUGAACCAUUUUAACGGGGAAAUAAGUUAUUCUAAAGGCUUCUGCGUCGUUGCGUCGACGCACUCGUUUCAAUUCAUGGUUCUAAAGUUUUGCGUGUGUUACAGAGCAAUUCACCGACAGAACAACAGGUGGAGUAACGUGUUCUGUUGAAGACGACCUAGAGAGUCACGUCUUUGUGUGUGGAAGUCGAUGGUUUGUUUAUUCAUUUAUUAUAGACUUUAUUGCCCCGUUCAGACACUGCUGCUUUUCAUCGCGGACACAUUUGUCCCGUAUUUUCCUCCACAACUUUGUUCCCCUCGACCGGCAAACCGACGUUUGCGGAGAUCUCCCUCCGUGAAUCGGGAAGCUGUCCGCGUGUCCUCAUAGUCCGCCAAUAAUGGUUUGUAUAAGCGGUCAUAUUUACGCAUUUCUUUCCGACAAAAUGUCUUCAAUCUGAUCCGUUCUCUCGUAAACAUUCUUCAUUUUAAUAAUGGCGGUAUUGUGCUAUGAACCUCGCAGCAUUGAUCGACACUGAAAGCACCGUCUCCACCAAACCAACGGGGAACGGGAAAAUAAGUUAUUCUGAAGAUUUAAGGCAUGUGUAAGUUGUUGUUGCACAGGUGUUCCGGUGUGGGGGCUUUAGUUUUGAAGGGGGAGAUGGAAGGAGAGGAAGUUGAGGUGGUGUUCAACUGGGGGUGUGGUGAUAAAAAUAAAUAAAAAAGGGUGAUAAAAAUAAAGUUGCGGCCGGUUCGGCGCAGAACUGGAGCUCCGGGUUGUUUCUUUUGUUAUCGACACGAAGUAUAGGCGCACCCGAACCAUUCGGCUACACGUGGAUGGCGAGGGGGGCAGCGGGAGCGGACGCACCUCGCAGCAUCGAUCGGACCCUGAAAGCACAGUCUCCACUUCCCCACAUCCCCCCCGACAUCAAACGUUUGACUGCAGGAUCGUAUGCGCCUUAUAAUCUGGUGCGCCCUAUAUAUGAAAAAUAUUCUAAAAAAGGUCAUUCAUUGAAUGUGGGCCUUAUGAUCCGGUGCGCCAUGUAGUGCGGAAAAUACGGUACACAAAUUCAAGCACAAACAAAAGAUGAACAUUUAUUGCUUGAUUUCUUUCAGUCAACUUCAGCUGGUUUAGCAGCUCCCCAACUACAGUAUUAUUUUAACGCGUUAAUUUUGACCGCCCUAAUAAGAAUCCCAACAUAUUUACGUGAAUUGGAAUCAAAGGUCAAACAAAACAAUUAUCCUGAUUCCACCUCAAGCAUGCUAAAAUGGUGCUAACCUGCUAAUUGUUUUAAAAUGAAACUCUCUCCCUCACAACAUGUUGAAGAUUGUGUUUUGGAAAUGUAUAAUUGCCUAUCCAAUAUCUACUAUGGUAUUGAGAUAUAUUAUAGGGCAACGCUUGAACGGCUUAGCUCACAGUCAAGCGAGGCGUUCAUUACACAGCCCAAUUCUGCAGCUAUUACUGCAUUACCUAAACUGACCACUAAAUGAGCAUUCAUUUCUUCUGAUAGUGGCACUUUCAGAAAAUACUUGGGUAUUGGGUGAGCUGUAUGGCAAUCAACCUUCUGUCUCAUGCUAUAUUCAUCUUGAUUCAAUGUUUUCAUUUUCUUCACUUUUCAAAUAGCUUCAUUAUUAUUUUUGUGUUUCAGUAUAUAUGUGUAUGUACAAAAAAAUAAAAUGAAAUAGGUAGUUUGAACGGAAAACUCAUUUGGAGCUGUAUUUCACCAGUAAUGGAACGUGAUGAAUGUCAAACGUGUUUAUAUAUAAUAUCAUUUAACAAGAUAUUGAAUAUGGAUCCCUAUAUCAUCGAAAUGCUCCCUGGAAUGUUACUUGCUACACUUUGAAAUUGUCUUACAUUAAGUAAUUAGCCAAGUUACCAGGUCAAAUUGUAAUAUUCCCCAGGUUACUUAGGUCUGAUUCUCACAUUAAGGAUGUAGAACCGGUUUAGAGCAAUUUAGACCUUGUGAAGAAAGAACUUUUUCUAGAUAGAUAGUAAAGACAGAGUUGUUUUUAGUUAUCCAGCUGCUGCUGAUCCACCUACAGGCAAAUGUUUUUCAAACUUGCCAGAACCAAUGGUGAUUUUGCACUGAUAAUUAGCGUGCCGUCAGAUAUGAGCAAUUAUCCAUGCUUCCCAUCCAAAUGAUGAAGAUGAGGGCGUAAAUGAGCAGCUACUGUUGUCGCAAUUUGAUUUAAAAGAUUUCUAACUCUUGGAUUGUAUGGGAUUCAAUGAGUUGAAUAUGUCUGGCCGUGGUUAUGUGUGUCUGAGAAACUUCAUUGUCUACCUUCUUAUCCUUCCCCCCAAGGACAGACUGGUCUGAAUCAGUCCAAAUCUAGCGCCUCUCAGCAGGAGACAAGAUGUUUGUAAUCUCCACUGUCGGGAGUCCAUGCUUGGAGGGACUCACCACUUGAGUCCCCUGCCUGAGUCCUGUGUGCUUGGACUAAGACUACUUGUGCUUUGAAUUGCUGUUUGCUUCCAGCAAAAAAAACUCUCAGAAAGUAGACACAAAAAAUAUAUAUUCUACAAAGCUGAAGAAAAUGCCAUUUUAUGUGUUUUAUAGUUUUUUUAAAACAGUUCAUUCCUCAACAUGAAAGAAAAACGUUCUUUAGCCACUUAUCUGCAUCAAAUGCACUUGAAUUGUAUUUUCAACUUUGAUAACAAAACUUAAGUGUAAACAGCAUUCAAGGCUACAGUACUUAAGAUCUAUAUUUUGCUGGAGGACAAAGUAAUGUAAUGGAAGGGUCAUUAUUUUUCACAACAUCUACUUGGUUGGGAUUAAGUUUAGGCAAUAAGAGUAUUCGUUUAGGGUUCAGAGUAGAUUUGGUUUGUAAUAUGUGGUCUCUAGUCAUGACUUGCCUGCGUUGUAUUAGUUGAUUAAGCCCCAAGCAAUUAAUAUAAGACAAAGUAAAACUAGAAAAUUCCGCAGAAAUUUUAAGAAUCAGGAAUCAGGAAACCUUUAUUGCCAUAAUAUGUCAGACAAAUAAGGAAUUUGACUUGGCGGUUGGCGCGUAUCAGCAGACGUAACACGAGGAAUAAAAUAAUGCUAUGGGUUAGUUUAAAAUAAAGGAAAUAAAGUUAAAAAUAUUUAAAAAUUAAAAAAUAAAGCCGACGGGAAGAAACUGUUCAUGUGGCGGGAGGUCGUGAUGGACCUUAGCCUCCUGCCAGAUGGAAGGGGCAAAAACAGUUUUUGUCCGGGGUGAGAGGGGUCGGCUACAAUCUUUUUAGCUUACCUCAGGGUCCUAGAAGCGAACAAGUCCUGGAGGGACGGCAGAUUGCAGCCCAUCACCCUCUCUGCAGAGCGGAUGACACGCUGGUCCGUCUUUACACGCCCAGGAUGAAAACUGCAUUACUCCUCCUCAAUCCUCCUUUCCAGCACCUUGAAGUAGACUUUACAAGGGAGGCGGAGUAGUGGGAUACCCCUGUAAUUGGCACACACUCUCUGGUCCCCCCUUUUCACCUUGAUCUGCCACUCAUUUGUCACUGUCCCAGACUUCCACAGAAUGUUGAAGAGCUGUGCCAUCCAUGACAGCCCCCCAACACCCAUUGCUUUCAGUAUCCUUCCACCGCCCGAUAACCUCCUCAGUUGCGGUCAACAUGGUCCCAUCCUUACUGUACACAGCUUGGAUUGUUCCCCGUUCCCCUCUCCGGGGGUGCCAGAUGGUCUUCCAGAAGAACUUUGGUCCCAUUGUCACUGCCACCCUUGUAGCAGCGCACCCGCUGGGACCAUGGGAAUUAGAGUUCUGGGGUGCCGCGUCAUGCAAAAUGUCUUUGCAUUUUCUCAAUCAGUCAAAACCUGAUUAAGACUGCUGUUUACACACCAGCUGCAUUGAUGUAAUCUAAUGAAACUGGGUUUUGCACGAACAAAUCCGGCUUUGGUAAGAACAGGUACUUCUGGCUUUGACACACACUGUGUUAAACUUAUGUGUAUGCAAUAAUGUUAUAUUUCCUACUCAAUUUGCUACUACCACGGAUGUAGCUUAGUGGAUACCAUUGGACGCGAGUAAAUGCAGCUUAAAUUUUUCACAGAUAAGGAAAAUAACUUGAGGCAGUUAACUUAAGCAGAGCUCCGAGGAAUACAAAACCGGCUUGUUUUGUCCACUACCAUGACAGAGGCCACUAUCAAAAUAUUUCCACUCACUGUCUGUUUAUUCGUCUGUCUUGCUGACCAAGAAACCUUUCUGUAAUAAGAGGCAGCACAUCUCCUUUUGGCAGGCCGACUCAUCUGGUCACCGUCCAACCGUAGAUGUGACAGAUUGGUGCAGACACUUUGCCAGAACCGGCACAGCCUUGUCCCAUUUCACCUCCACACCCGCCAACUGUUAUCCCUGCCAAAACAGAUGUAAAGUAAAAAUGUACUCUACCUCCUAUGUUUUUGUCAGCCUUAGGGCUAAUAUGAACUUGACACCGACUAAUAUGUUUGAUAUUGCAGUAACAUGGCUAUUAAAAUUUGACACAGAUUUGGCCACACAUUACAUGGUAUAUCGAUUGAGGAUUUGAACUUAACGUGAGCUUUCCAAUAUGCAGUUUGGUCUGGUCAAAGGGAAAAACAAAAUGCAUUCCCUUUUUGUUCAGCACCACGUGACAUUUAAAUUAGGAACUUUAUAGAACUGGCAGUUAACUCAUUAACUACCUUUCGUUUUUAGCCUGUAUUCCGUAAGUUCUUUACGUAACCCCUGUAUAUUAAUAUUCCAUUAAGGUUGUUAUUAAAUGAUCCAUUAAAUGAUCCACUUGCUGACCAGAGAAGUAAGCAUCCCUUUUCAUCUUAAGGUCAACAGAGUUAAUAUUUUGCCAUCAUGUCUAGCAUUUUCUCAGAUAGUCAAAAAGAAAAGUAGUGAGGAAUAGUGUACACACUUUGAGAAUACACAGUAUGAGUAUACACUCAUUCCACCUCUGAUUCUGUAGAAAAAAUUUUGAAAAGCAAAUAGCCAUUUGUUUUUUUCAAUACAUUCCUGAGCGUAGUUAAGACUUAGUUGGUAAUAUGUAAUCGCUUGACUGAGCCUACCUAGCUAGCCUGCGGCUAACUAGUGUUCCGCGAUGCGGCCAAAUGUAGCUGUUACAGACAUGGCCACCAGGUUUAGUGCCAACCGACACUAACAAAGGUUCCGGCCCGUUUAUGGCUGCCAGACCUUGGCCUAAACCGGUUGAGACAUGGCAGCCGGGUUUAUCUGCAACUAAGCACGGAAACCGGCUCCGGCCCAUUGAUGGCUGCCAAACCUGUGCCAGAUCUGGCAUUAUAGAAUCAGUCCUAUUCAGACAUGUUGAGAGAAAGAAAAUUGUUUGUCUGUUGAAAUUGUUGUCUGUCGGUUUGCUAAGGGACAUAGACAGCAGAUUUUGUACUUCCUUCACUCAGGAGUUGCCAUUCUCCUUUUUAGAAGAGCAAAAGAGUCCAGUGACACUCUCACAGAGCCUGUAAUACUAUAGACAAGAGGGUCAAUCUUGGACGGAGUAAAGUUUUCACACAGGAGUUCACUGAUACAUUGAGACACAAUACUGAUCUUGAAACUGAACGAAUAACUUUUUUAAACAUGGCGCUAUUGGAUAAGCAUUGAAUGUCAAAACCCUUUGCCAGAGGAGCGCAUUUUAGUAGAAAGAAGUCAAAAGGUAUUUGACAAUGAUCCGACCAAAAAUACACCAGAACCAGGUCCAGGGUGGGAUUAAAACAACGAACACUCUGACAGAAACCAAUCAAAUCUAACAAUGAGAUGAAUAAAAUACCAUGUCAUUAUCGACAUCCACAUGAUUGAAAUCAUUAAUUAAGGUCUACUCUCCCUAUGUAAGGCAACCAGUAGAAGGAUCAAAUCCAGGACAGUGGAAACGGACGCUUCAGAUGCCAGUGCCGGCCCCCUCUGUGCUUACAGGGGAGGCUCCUACCUCUUCUGGCCGGGGAGGCCCUGGGGCUUCCCCCGGCAGCCAGAAAGAGUUAUGUGGACAUGCGUAAGGCAGUCAUUGACCAACUGGGUCUGACUCCGGAGGACCACCGGCGGAGAUUCCAUGAGGCCAGGCUGGGGCUGGAGGACCAGCCAUUAGCUUUUGCGCAGUGCCUGAAUGAUGAGAUUAUAAGGUGGUCCUCCAAGCACCUUGGAGUAGACUUUACCCGGGAGGCUGAGUAGUGUGAUACCCCUGUAAUUGCCACACACUCUCUGGUCCCCCUUUUUGAAGAGGGGUACCACCACUCUUUUGGCACUGUCCCCGACUUCCACAAAAUGUUGAAGAGGCGUGUCAUCCAAGGCAGCCCCCCAACACCCAUUGCUUUUAGAAUCUCUGGAUGUAUCUCAUCAAUCCCCGGGGCUUUGCCACUGCGGAGUUGUUUGACUACCUCAGUGACCUUGACCAGGCAUUUUGACGAUGAUACCUCCUAGACUAGACUAGACUCCCCACUGUCACUGCCACCCUUGUAGCAGCGCACCCGACCCUAUCCGUUUCCCCCACAGGUGGUGAGCCUAUGGGGAGUAGAGUUUUGGGGUGCCGCGUCACUCCUUCGGGCUGUGCCCGGCCACCAGACGCUCGCUGUUGGGCCCUCCAUCUGGGCCUGGCUCCAAAUGUGGGCCCCGGACUUCCUCCGGGCCGGGUAACUCCUUCCCUGUUCCGUUUUUUCAUAGAGUCUUUUGAACCAUUCUUAGUCUUGCCCCUCGCCUAAGACUUUGCCAAGGGUAACCCUACCAGGAGCGCAAGAGUCCCGACAACACAGCCCUCAGGGUCAUAGGGACACACAAACCUCUCCACCACAAUAAGGUGAUCCACAGAGAGGUUUACCAAAGAAACUAAUUACACAAGCUAAUAAAAAUUCAAAGAUCAGAUGAAAUUGCCAUUUGCAAGUAUUUCCAUUACAUACAUGCCAUUAACAUAAACUUCUUCUUUUCCUUCAUGUUCAAAGAUCAAAAUCAACAGAAAAAAGAAAACAAACGAUUGCUUCAAACAAUAUUUGAAAUUAAUAGAAUCCAUACCAGUUACGUCUGUGGUUGAACAUCAGCUGUGAUGUGGAGAACAGCAGAGAUGGCGGCUAAGCUAACACCAAACAUUUUAUACCCAUGCUUGUUAAAGCGUGCACUGGUGAAUUUAGUCCUUUCAGACACGCAUUUUUGGGUUCCACCUUUGUUUGGGUUCGUUCUCUGCUCUCUUCCGGCUUGGAGUUCACAGAUGCUCCUUGUUUAAAUGCAUGCUCAAACUUGUUUUAAUACGAACAAACUCCUGGACUGACUUGGCACUGCGUGUUUCUUACGACCCUGUAUUUUACCAAGGGCUACUGGAAGAUUCCUCUGUUGCCAGAGUAAAAGAAAACAACAGCUUUCUCCACUUUGUUUGGUUUGUACCAAUUCAGCACGCUUCCCUUCGGGUUGUUCGGUGCCCCAGGCACGUUGCAACGCCUUAUGGACCGGGUGCUGCGUCCGCAAUCUGCGUAUGCUGCUGCCUAUUUGGAUGAUUCAUUGACAGCACCACCUGGGUGCAGCAUGUGGGCACGGUGCUGGAGUCCCUGAGGUAUGCUGGGUUCACCGCCAACCUAGGGAAGUGUGCCGUUGGACGGAGGGAGGUACGAUAUUUGGGGUACGACUUGGGCGGCGGCCAGGUGCGCCCUCAGGUGGACAAGACUGAUGCUAUCGCAGCCUGCCCCCGGCCCAGGAAUAAAAAAGAGGUGAGGCGGUUCUUGGGGCUGGCGGGGUACUACAUGCGGUUCACCCCAGCCUUUGCGGAACUGGCCAGCCCCUUGACCGACCUAACCCGGAAAGGUUUUUCAGAUCCGGUCCAGUGGACUGAGCAGUGGCAGUUGGUGUUUGAGAAAAUAAAGCAGGCUCUCUGUGGGGAACCACUCCUUCACACACACCGAACUUCCCCCCAAAAUGGCCCCCAGCGAACAGAGGGCUGGGGGCCAUUUUGUCCCAGCAGGUGGAAAGGGUUGACUGUCCUGUCCUUUACAUCAGCUGGAAACUGUCAGAGAGGGAGGCCAGCUACAGUACGGUGGAGAAGAAUUGCCUGGUCAUCCGGUGGGCGGUUGACUUCCUGCGCUAUACCUUCUUGGGCGCUCAUUCACCCUCUGUUCAGACCACGCCCCUCUAGUGGCUCCACUGAAUGAAAGAUACCAACGCCCGGAUCAUUCAGGGGUAUCUGGCUUUGCAGCCUUUUCAUUUCAGGGUGAUCCAUAGGCCGGGGGUGCAGAUGACCAUGGCCGACUUCCUCUACCGCUCGCAUGGGGAAAGGGGGGGCGGGAGGUAGGUUAGGCCGGAUGGCUCCCCGGACUACGUCGGACAGUGGGGGUAUGUAGUGGUGGGGCGGGGUUAGCUCAGCUGCAGAGGGGGAACCUAGCGAGGGGGGUGGUUCAUGGAACGGUGCCGGGAUGAGGUCUAAUCAGCCUCAGCUGGGCUUAAUCUGUGUGUGUGUGUGUGUGUGUGUGUGUGUGUCCCUCUCCUCGAUAAAGGGCAGUAGGGACUGAGAAGCAGAAAAGGAGAAUGAAGAUUGGGACCUAUGUGCCCACAAGUUGCUCCCAAUAAAACUGGUCACCAACCUGAACAAUCCGUGUCGCUGCUUAAUCUAUAUCCAAGACUCAAAGGGUGACGCAGAAACAAUAUUUUAGAGUCAAAGUUCACUUCUGACUUGCUGAUACCUUAUGAACCGCCACAAACCCUUAGGUCUUCUGAGACUACUUUCUGUUCCCAGAGUGAAAACUAAACCUGGAGUCAGUUCUGCUCCACAUAUCUGGAACAAAGUCACAGAAAGCUGCAGGUUUGCUUAGUCACUCAGCUCCUUUAAAUCCAGAUGAUUCAAUUUUGGCUAAAUAUAAAUGUAUAUAUUUUCUUUGUUCCUGUAGAUGUACACAAACUCCCAAACGUUCAAAUGCUUGAGACUUCAACCCUCUCAACGCGCCAACUUAUUUCUGAUGAAAUCUGGGGAUAAAGUGUCAUAAGUGAUGCAUAGUUCAUCUCCCCCUGCCAUGUGUGAGUUAUGACAGACAAUAUCAUUCACAAUAAUAACAAUACGUAACUCUGUCUGCAGUCUCUGACUCAUAGGCUAAAUGCCCCCCCUCCUCCCUCUGUCUCCCAUGGAGGGCCAUGAUAUGUUUCUAAACAGGGAAAAAUGUGUACCAGUCUUUGCUCAUAGGGCUUGUAUGUGUGUGUGUCUGUGAGCGGAAUAUGAAAAGCAUCACUGCUCGAAUUCUGCCUGCCUGGGAGAUCAGCAAGUCAGUUUGUUAUCUCAGAGAUAUCCAGUUUAUUAAUCUGAAGUUCGCAUAUGAUUGAAUGCACUUGCCCGUCACUAGAAAACAACUAUCCAAACCCGAUUAUGGAAGGCUAAGGAAAUUUGAAACGGGAAGUUCCUACAAUGGGUUGAUUAUCCAUCAAUUAUUUACCUUUUGGGUUGUUCUGUGGUACUUUCCCUGGGCUCUAUUCCUCGCACGUGGUUCAGAUAAGUCGAUCAAAUGUCCCAUUAGCCAGCUCAAAUUUAAAAGAUGAUCGGUCAGGUUAUCUUGGUUCCUCAAAGGCUGUCAAACAGUUUCGUUAAUUUGAACCAGAUCCAGCCAUCAGGAUAAUCGGGCGUUUCUGUCUGUGUUUCCUCCUCGUACAUUCCUUCUCCCUGUUCCGUCCUUAAUCAGGUGGCCUAAACACUUAAGCAUGCACACCUUUUACAGCACAAAGAUUACAUGACUGAAAGGAUAACCUCUCACCAAGCAGUCUUAUCAUUACAACAUAACACAAAAACAAUGGUUUAAACCAUUGCCCAUGUUAUCCCGGUAGUUAAGCUUUCAUAAUUAGUCUUUAAACUCCAAUUGAUAAAGCUUUCUUUUUCCACUUUAAUUAGACUAAUUGCAAUCUCAUUUCAACAACUGAGGAGUGGGAGAUGGUAGAAAAAAAACGAUUCAUUCACUUUUUGGUUGUUGAAUUAGUCCAGCAGCUAUAGUGCAUUAUUGUAUGUGAUAGAAAGCUGGAAGGAGAGAGAGAUAAAUACGAAGAAAACCAACAAACCAAAGGGAUGAUGGAUGAGGCGUGCGGCAAACUAAUUUGUGAACAGCUGUUCACUGCUCUCGACUGAGGAGGCGUCCUGCAGUGUGAGCGCUGUAAGGUUCUGAUUGCCCUGAUACUGUGGAUGUGACCCCCUCUUAACUCCGAACACCUGGCCCUCUGCUCUAGCCCGGCUUCCCGCAUGACAGUUUGGGGCACACAAUCCCGGAGAGGGGCCUGGAAGGCCGGAGUAGGACACGGAGGAGCCAAAUGAACAUUAAAGUCUAACUCUGGCUAGGUCGGAAACUUCUGAUCGUCUUAUAGGGUGUAUAAGAUGUGGUAUAUCUCACAUUGUUUGAUCUUAAAACCUCCAUAUCCACAGUACAAGCAAUCUGCAAUCUCUGCUAUCUAAUGACAAUUAAAUCCAAUCAAUUGGAAUUAAGCAUUAUGUUUAUCAUAAAGUUUCUCUAAAUUAACCUUCGAUGGACUGCUUAUGUUCACAAAGAAGAGUAUAGUUAUUUUCACUCCCGAAAAACGGUUGUUUGGUUUGCUAGUUUUUAGCUCAAUAAUCCUAAAUUUAUAAACCUACAUUUAUGGGAAACAGAAAAUCAAGCAGUUAUAACUGAGAUCAUAGAAACAGGUGCAUCUAUGCACUCAUAAACCGAUGUAUGAAGCAAUUAAAUAAGGAAAACCCCUAGGGACUUGCAAUAUAUCUUUAGGAUCAGCAUUACGCUACAAAAUACGCAUAUUUCUUAAAGAUGAGAUAUCGAAUAAACAAGACCAAGAGUCUAUGGCUGUUAGUACUGGGAGGUUUUGCUGGUACUAAACAAAGUCAGCAUGAUAACCUGCUCACGGCAAUUACUAUUUACCAACUUGUAUCAUAUUUAUUGCACAUUACAACUUCAGAUGUAAAAAUGCUGAAGUAAAAGAAAGGCAACUGUGUUCAUUAAUUGCCCUAAAACCUCAAUAUUUAACGUGAAUAUAACACUCUUAGUUCAGGAGACAAAGCUGAAAACCGUGUCUCAAUUCCCUUGGCUGCUUCCUUGUCGAACCCAGCCUUCACAGUAGACCUAAGUUGGGUCCUCAAACAACCGCGUAGGCUGAACCGAGCGGAAAUGGGACGGUCCGGCCUACUGCGGGACUUCCUGCUUGCGUCAUUAGCUUUACCUCCGCUGCCUAGCAACCUGCUACGCCUGACAGUAAAAGCCGUAAAAGCCGAAAAACAUAAAAUACAUAAUCGAGAAGAUAUUCUUCACCAUCUAUGAAAUAGUCACAGCCUCAAUAGGAUGUUAGUCGACCUUUUAAAGUGAAAAAGUUGAGGCAUUAAAGGGAUUUUUCACUAAUCUAUAGACGGAUGCGGGCAGACGAGCUGUUAACAGCGCAGCAACUCGUAACGUGAGCUGGUUGUUGUGUAUUUGUUCUAAAUGUGUGUUUUGUAGAUUGAGGUUCAUAAGAAGCAGUACAUGGACCCAGGGGGUUCAGGUGAGGGGGACAGUAGGGCGGAGUUAAUGUUCAUAAUUAAGAGCAGUUUGUUCUCACGUCUUGUUUGUUUUUAAAAACACGACAUAAGUUACCAGUGUCCCCUAACUUAGGCCAUUUUAACUAAGUAAGAUGUGUGUAUAUCUAUCGCUAGAUAUUCGAGUGAUUUCUAUUACUUAGCGAGGAAAGAGUUCACUUGUAACGUUGUCAGCUCACCUGCCUCCGUCCUGAAUAAAUUAAAUCUUUGUUGGCCUGCACUGCAUGGUGGGAUAUACUGGGCCGCAAAGGAUCAAAUGUGUCCUCCAAAUUUGCUCCCGGAGGCCUGCGGCCCUCGACCGCGUUCGGAGGAGCCGACGGUACGGAACAGCUGAUUUGCAACCGAAUUUGACGUAUAGUCGAUGAAUGCAUCCUCAAGGAUGCAGCAAAGGGAAUUGAGACAUACCCAUUAAGUCCUGUGAUCCUGGGCUUUUUUUUCAAGGAAAAUGACUAAGGACUCCGGGUUGGUCCACUCCACACACAGUAUCUGUUCGGCGAGUGUCCACAAGGUCGCCUGCAUGUUGCCCUGCGGCAGUAUGUAAACACCAACCAGGAUGAAUAAAGCAAACUCAAGUAAAAGGGUAUGCAGUUGAUGAUGAAAUAUUCCAGAUAAGGAGAAUAGUGUUAUAGAAUCAAUGUUACAUAAUUGCAGAAUUGGAGUAGAAGCAGAUUCCUCCACCCUACGUCCUGCCAGAGAGCUCCACGUCAGUCUGCUUUGACCAGCUAGAAGCCCACCAGCUGGAGCGCAGAGUCCGGUAUUGAUCCACUGGCUCUUGAAAAUAUCCUGAUUAAAAGCAGUCCUAUGCGGUUAGAUUGUCUAGCUAGACUAGUCUGUUGGGUUUGGCUGCAUUGAGGCUCUAUUCAAUUGAAUAACGUUUUUGAUUCACACUGAUCGCAGUGGGUUUUGUAACAGAAUCUUUUGAUUUUAAUUUUCUGCUCUAUUCAUGUAGCAAUCUACAUCUCCUUUCAUAUCUGUCUGACCCGAGACCUCAUUUAUAGGUUUUACUACUGUACAUAAAACCUAUAAAAGUCAUGUACCAAAAACUGCACGAGAACUCAGUGGGCAAUUAAACUAACAAAUAUAUUAUUAAUCUACUCUUUCUACUGACAUAAAGGCACCACAACUAGAGCAAAAUACUUGCACAAUCACGGUUGAUCAUCGGUUAAAGGCGUGAAAUUAGGAAAGGUCGUGAAGAUGAGCUGUGCUUGUCCAACUAAAAAAUAUAUAGCAAUUCUUCGUCAGCUGAAAAUCACACAAGUGGACACUGAAAAUGAAAAAGAUUACUGAAAUCUGGGACGAAUGAUAAUAAGUUUACAGUGUUGUAUAUAACUUACUUUUUAUUUGACAUUAAAAACGGGCGAAACAAAAUGUUUUAUCUGGGAAAAAGAAUGUGCUAAAGUUGCCUAGCUUAGCAUAAAGCUAGCUUGCAGAGAAGAUCUCAAUAGCUGUGGUCUCAUUUGACUCUGUGAAUUUCAUGUAAAAAAUGACCAACUAAAUUCAAUGUUCUUCAACAAACGGUUUAGAAAUAAACGCAACCUUCUCACAAGGGAAAGAUCUUAUCCAUGAUGUGAUUACUGAACCAAUGCAAAUCUGUAACAACCUUGAGUGCUGUGUCUCUGUUGAUUUUAAGAUUGCAAAGAGGGGAGGCAAGAAACACAUUAAAAAAGACACUAGACCUUCAUCCCUGUCCCAUCCAUUACCCAUGUAAUCUAAGCUGUCUUCAGCCCUGAUUGCUGCACAAAAACAACCCACACAACUCAGCUGUGGCAUGACAACCAUCAAUCCACAAUUAUCACUGCACAGCUCAGAUCCAGAGGGACUGAAUGAAAAAAAGGUUACUAACAAAUCGUGGAGAAUUAGAAGCGGAACAUCAAUGAGCCACAAUAGUCACACACGUGAAUGACAUUUGAAAUAUAUUCCCCUUUCAAAUUGAUCUUCCUUUACUGCUAAAAUGGAAGUACAGAUGUAUAUACACACUAAAGCAAUAAAGGUACGAGAGGCUGUACUUUCGUCUAAUAAUGUAACAGUUUGUUAGGCACGUAGCGGAGGGACGGCAACAGUUGCCCUUUCUCAAAUUUAGCAUGUUUUAAAGAAAUUAAAUAUUAGACCAGUAGUUGCAGUUUGGGCAGUUAAAAGGGCUAGACUACUCCCCACAUCAUCCAAAUGUCAGUUUUUGUCUGACCCAUUCCUGCAACAUGCUCAUCCAUAUCUUAUAUAAGUGGCUUUGAAUCAAUAAUUGCAUUCAUCCUGUGACAUGUAACUUGCUAAUGUAGUAAAUGACUAUUUAAAACGUGAUGGACAUUGUUUUUCACCCUAAAUUCCCGGAUAUACAUUGUCUACUAAUGUAUUUGCAUAUUGCAGUGGAUUAACACAAUUUUGACAUAAUGGUUGUUUGACGAACAAACAUCAUUACUGCCUAUCCAAGCUCUGGGCUCUUUACAUAUUGUUGCGUCACAGGGGUCCCUACAGCCAGCUAGGGUGGGACAAAAAAUCAAAAAAUCUAAACAUCUGAAAGAUUCCAAAGUCAAUUUUCUCUUCUUCUUAAAUAAACAGUAAAAUGUAAUAAAGGCCUUUAUUAAUUUUCCAGCUCAAACACAGUCCCCUUUUACUUCGGGGUUGAGGGAGUACUGUCUUCCUUCUCCAGGGAUCAGCGUUUGCUCCAAUGAACUGUUCUAGUCGUUCUCACAAACCAGGUUUUUAGGCUUUUACGCUCUGCUGCAAUCAAGUGGCUUUAGCACAGCCCAAAGGAGUGACGCGGCACCCCAGAACUCUAAUAGCCAUGGGCUCCAAUGACCCAGUGGGUGCGCUCCUACAAGGGUGGCAGUGACAGUGCUGUCUAGACGGAACAGACCUGGAAGGCAGAUGCUGGCUCUAGGGACGUGGAAAGUCACCUCUCUAGGGGCGGAAGGAGCGCUAUCAGUUGGAUCUGGCGGUGCUUACCUCUACGCCCAGCCUCGCCUCUGGAACCGCACUCCUGGAUAGGGGAUGGACUAUAUUCUACUCUGGAGUGGCCCAUGAUGUGAGGCAUCAUGCUAAAGGUCGAUUUUUUUUUUUUUUUUUAAUUGUAUCGUCUCAUCUGAGGCCGCAUAUUUUGGACACUCAGGUGAAGAGAGGGGCAGAGCUUUCAACUGAUCACCAUCUGGUGGUGAGCUCGGUCAGAGGAUGGGGGAAGACUCAGGAAAGAACCGGGAAUGUCUGGAGGAGGCCCCAAUCCGAAAGGUUUAACUCACACCUUAGGCGGAGCCUCUCUCUCUCUUCCUUUGGAGGUGGUGUAUGUUCCAUUGCUGAAGCUGCGGCAUUUAGCUGCACUGCAUGAAAAGUGGGAUUUUCGUCAGUAUGCGGCACUGUAGAUUGUCGUGGAAUUUCAGGUUUACGGCUGUUCACGGCAAUUUGCGGGCAACACCGAAAACUGCCGUAAAUUGUCAGAAAUUGACAUGGGCCUCCCUUGGCAGUUGUCCCCUGAUGAACCCCCUCCUAAUUAUAGGGGAGGCUUUGACAUGUAAAUGAAAAUGCUGUGAGCUAUACAAAUGCAAAUCAGGGUAAGAAAAUCUCUGGUACAAAUAGAUCAGACUCAGUAGCCUAAUUAUAAACUUACAUUUGAGCUUAAAUUGAUUUAAUUAAAAUAUGCUAGAUUACAGUGUACGCCAUUAGCAAUGGCAAAUGUUAUGUAAAAAAAGAUACACAAAAUAACUUCUUUGAAAAAUGAGUUUUAAUCAAGGUAAAAUGAGCAUUCCAUGUUAACAUUUGAAUCAGAAUGAGGGGUCUGCAGAGAUCACAGUCUCCUAGAGCUCAACUACAGUGCAUAGUGGCAGGACUACAGUGACCUUUUCUUUGGUCUUACUUAAAUGCACAGAGGAUGUAUUAACCACACAUCUUCUAGCAAUGCGCUCAACUGGCAGAAAUGAUGCUGGGUAUGACGUAUCUGUUCCCUUCAAGCCCCAAACUUCUAUUGGCUUUCCAUAAAAAUGUCUAUCCGGGUGGGGAUGAAGCCAGGAAACUUGUGCAAGAACAUGUUUAAAUGCCGUACCCUUUGACACAACAUUAACAACUAUAAACUGCUUUAUAAUGGCUGGUCGUAGUUCUGCUAGAGGGUCAAGGACGGGUUCCUCAAAACUGUUAAGUGUUUCCACACCACUUAGCAUGAACAUAUUGUUACGGCCCUUUUGUAGAUUCCAGGACAGUAAAACAACAAUCAAAGACAGGCGACAGAGUCAGGGUAAAAGGUGUCUUUCUAGUUUUUAUUCUUACACAAAAAGAUGGCUCCCAACAGGAGGGAGGGAGAUGGUGGAAGAUGGGACCUACAGGUUGUGCCAAACAAAUGAAAUGAAUAUAACAAAACGAGGCCUAGCUCACCACUGGCUCUUCAUCCAAAACAAGUCAAACAAAAUACCUUACCUGCUUCUCUAAAAAAGGACUAAAGGAAAACGUUACACAGGAGGCCACAACCACUACACCUGGUGUGUCUAUACAAAGGUAUACCUACGUGCAAAAAUGUACAGGGUACCCCAACUUACUAAGGUCCUCAACCUCCACCUUACAAAACUCCAGUUUUGCUAGCAGCCAGCUAAAGCUCACGUACAGGGAGACUGGCCACCAGCCCGCAGCGCAGAACACACCCCAUUUCACUUCUCAGGAGUCUUCCUUUAUGGACUGCCACCGGAACUGCUGAUUGGCCAAAUCCAAACACAGGUGGAAAGCAAUCAGCAUAAUCACUGGGGGAGAGAAACCAAUGAGCAGGAGGGAGAACGACAAGAACACAUGCAGACCGUCCCCGUCUGGCAUGUAACACUGAGUAAACCAGGGGUCUCAAACUCAAAUCAGCUGCGGGCCAGAUGCAGCCCACUUCAACCGAACGCGGGCCAGACUAGCGUCCGAACGGCAUGGUCGACAAUAACACAACUUAACACUCACUUUCGAAAGCAGUCAUUGAACCCCACCCUGGGGGAUCGGUCCGAAUGAGAAUACAACACUAGUCCUCCUUUAACUCAGGGGGGGAGACCUAAGGUCAUGUGACCGUGGAAUUCCUUUAUAGCCAAACGUGAAGUUACGUGAAUCGAAGCUGCGUAGUAAUGGACGGAGACGCUCGUCGGUGACGUCAGAUGCUUCAUGUGUUGUUAGUGUGAGUCGUAAAGGAAAACUUUAUUAAACGAGCGAUGCUAACGGUUAGUCACAUGAUCACCUGCGCGAAAGAGGGCAGGAAACUGAAUUUCACCCUCCUGCUCUCUCCACCUCGGCCGACACACACGACCCGCCCCCCAUGUCAGUCACAUGCAUGCCACGUUCACUGGACAAGCACAGAGUAGGAAACCAGAACAUCAUAACAUGUCCCACACAGCAGCUGACAGUGGGGUUACAGUAUAAAACUUGCGGGCCGCACUAACAUUACACUUUCAUAUUAAGGAUGGGGCCACAAAAUAUCGUCCCGAGGGCCGCAAUUGGCCCGCGGGCCGCGAGUUUGAGACCCCUGGAGUAAACUAUAAAAGAUGAGAUAAAUGUAUUAGAGAAGUGAAAUGCUGGAAUACUCCAAACGUCACAGGGGAGUCAAUGUUUUAAAAAAACAUACAGAUGAAACAUUUAGAAUGGACUUUCAACCUUUAAGACAAUACUGGGGGACCAUAUCAAAUGCAUUUCAAAUAAAAUGUACUACAUGAUCGUAAUAUAAAACUUGACUGUUGACCAGCCAAAUAUCCAAUUUUACAAAACGUUACCAUUAGCUAAUUACAUCACUGAUUAUUCAGUAUUCCAUGAUUCCGAUCGGGUUUGUCAAACUGCAAAGAAGCCACAACUAACAUGUUGACUCACACACAAAAAAACACAUUCUGGGCUUGCUCAAGAACAAAGUGAGGAAACUUUUAAUUGUAAAGAUCUAAAAAUAGAUAUAUAGUUCAGGUUUUGAUAACAAUAGCUAUGAACUCAUUUCAGUGAGCAGUCACAUUAAUGUUGUGAAGAAGAAAUAAAUUAAGAGUCCAUUUUAGUGUCAUGCAUACAUCUCUGUACAGGGUGGAGAGAUGUAGUUAUGACAUUAUAAAUAAUUGUUCUAAAAAAGUCUGACGUUUAUAACAAAGCAAACCGUUUAAAAAUCGUACCACUACCAAAACAAUGUUACGGGUGAGCGAGCUGACCGUACCAAUAUGGCCGCCAUGCGGACGUUCUAUACUUCGGCGUAAGAAAUCUAUCCAUAUAUAUAUAUACAUACACAUAUAUACAUACACAUAUAUAUAUAUAUAUAUAAAAUUAGUUUUUUUUGUUACGGUAUGAAUAUUCUGCCUUUCAGGGUUCAUGCUUUUUCCUCAAGGAAAAAUGCUGAAAUUUUUUUUUUUGAUGUGACAAAACACAAACGUGAAAAUGAUCUUGAUUGGCCUUUCUCUUUUUUUGCUUGCAGUGACAUUUUUACAUGCACACACACAUACACACACAAAGGGUAGUGCCCGUACAGGAGCAUGCAGUCAUCGCUUCCGUCUCAGCCCAUCGAGUGAUUAGUGAGGUGUUCCAUGUGUCAGACACACGGGUCAUUAACCAUCCACUGGAUACCCCUGAAUCGCUGGGCACGUUUUUCUGCCCACGUGAUCGUCUUAAUGGACUGCAAUUAUAUACAGACGGCAGGGUGGCUGCGUUGUACGCAUGUAUUUAUCUUUGGUGCUGUGUCUCUGGGGGGCUCGUCCAGACCUCUUGUUUUAACAUAUCCACAGUAUUAUUGACUGUUUUUAACUUGUAUCAGGAAGAUUUUAUGAAUCCCAGUAAAGCAAGAUGAAAAGCACGUUUACCAUGACAUCUGUACCUUCAUAAUGCUUCUAUAUUUACACUGGUUAAAAGAAUGUUGUAUGACAACAUUGAUAUGUUCGUUACCUAAAAAGUUUCCUGUGUUUACAUAUCAUAACCAGUGAGAGGUCUUGAAAUUAGUCUAUUAUUCUGCCAGUAAUGCAAAUCUCAGUUUAAAAUAAUCCUAAAAAAAAUCUAAUAAAUCAAACUAUAAGUAUUUCUGUAAGAAAGACUGGUGUAAAGUAUAAUGGGUGAUGACUCUGAUUAGGGGGGGGGGGUUGGGCGGUACUGGAUGGGUCAAAUAGCACAGGACCUUCACCCACUGGUUACCCACCUUUUUAUAAUUGACUCUGUAGUUUUUGUGAAAAACAAGUACUUUUCUGAAACAGAACCAAGUAGUUUAGUCUAUUCACAACGUUGGGUAAAACUCUGAAACAUAUUUACGAGAGUGAGUGGAAUGCCACUUGAAAAUGGUAAUUUUUUAAAGUGAUUGUAAUGCAAGUUCCCAAUUUCAUGCUAUUCUAGUUAGAUCCCCUUAUUUUGUUUUACACUGACGGGCGGUGUUUUCCUUCUCGUAAGGCGAAAAAAAACACUUCUCGUAAAAAUCCCCUUGCGAAACCCUGAGAAGUAUAUGAAACUCAGGAUCCCGGUCCCGCUGUACCAGUAACCACAGCACUAGCGGGUGACUCCGCUCCACCGGACUACGAGUAAAGAGAUCCUGAGUUGCUUAGAAAACCCAACUAACGGGUCGCCACUCCGCUGAAAAGUCAGUCUACAGCAGGGAUCGCAACGUCAGCGCCCCCCGUUGACCGUUCCGUUCACUGGUCGGACCGCCGACCGUAAUGGUCUGGCACGAGUUUGAGACCCCUGGUCUACAGGUAGACCAGGUCUACAGGUCAUCAUGGCACAGGGGUAGAGCGGGUCCGCUGGCAACCGCUUGGUUGGUGGUUGGAGUCCCGGCUGCCCCAUGUCAAAGUGUCCCUGAGCAAGAUGCCUAACCCUUAAUUGCUCCCUGGGCAAAAAUGUAAUGAAGUCGCUUUGGAUGAAAAGCGUGGCAAACUACAGAUCGGCCUGGACAUGCGCUGGCUUGAGCAGGGGGACCUUGCGUGCACUGCAGGAUUUUAAUCCAUGACGGCGUAGUGUGUUACUAAUGAUUUUCUUUGAGACUGUGAGAGCCGGAAUUCUUACUGGUUGGUAGGUGAUCAAAUACUUAUGUCAUGCAAUAAACUGCAAGGAGAUUUUUGGGAUUUGGUUUAGAGUUUAUACCUCUUAUAAUAGCAAGGUAAAACUACAGAGCAUCUUUAUAAUAUGACUCAUUAUAUCAUUGAUUUUGUUCUUACUUGCAAGGUUAAAACAUAGGCAAUUGGGAUUUAUGUGUCCUCUUUUCUAUCCUAAACCCUUAGUUCUUUGUCCUUAAAAGGUCAUCUAACAACAUUAUCAAUUUUGCAUAUCAUGCUAUCCUCUCAACAGUAUAUUGCUAGUGUCUGCAGUCCACACAACAGAUGUAUGACACACUCGUCUCACAGUGCCACACAUGAUGAACACACACACCACACAACAGAUGCAAGCAGAGCCAUGGCCGUGACUUUAAUUAUCACCUUGUCGAAGAUAAAUGACAGUGCAAGGCUUUGCUCAUCUAAACAUGCAGCUUGUGUGUGAGAGAGACAGAGAUUACAAAAAUCGCUGAUUAAAUCACUUCAAGAGUUUUUCUUUUUUUUUUGCCCCUUCCAGUGAGCACCUGACCCAUAAACUCAGAUUAUAUAUAGUGAUCCUAACAAAGCCCUCAGUUUUGCAUAGUCAAAUAGAGACCUUAAUACUGUAUAUGUAAUAAACACCAUCUUGUAUUUGGAGGAAGGAUGUGAUGGUGCAAAUUUAUUCCAAGAACCUUCCAAAAAUGGGAGCGAAAGAAAUAGAUGCAGUGCGGGGCACUGUAGAUCUGUCAUAUCCCUGAAAAGGACAUUUCAGCACCCUGUGAUGUAUGAUUUGAUUACUAUCACAGAUAUAGUGACAUUUCCCUAAGCUGAAAAUCAAUGGGGACCAAUAAGGUAGAGAUGGUUUCAGACAUAAAUCAUCUGUUAUCAUCCACUCUGUGACAUAAGAUGUAAAAAAGGGAUGAUUGCACAUAGACUUGGAAUAAAAUGGAAAAAGGAUGAGAACAGAUUGCCAUAAGAAUAAAGUAUGCAGGAACCAAAGCUGUGAAACUGAAAAGAAACAAGGUGUUAGGAUAAGAAUGAACCAACCAAGGAGAAGGAUGGACAUGAAAUAAGUAAAGGGAAAGACAAUUUAGUUUCCAAUAGGAGGAAAAGAGGAUUUAGAAUGGUGAGGAGGAUGUCGUUCUUAAUUAUUUCAUAAUUUUCAGACAAGACUGCAAAUGGUGGAUCAGUCAGAUGUGUCCGUGCCAUGAGCUUUCGGCUUCCUCACCGGGUGAGGGCAUCUUAAAUCCUUUUGCAAAAAACAAAACACCGGUGAUAGUAUUCUAGCUUUGACCCUCAAAUGUGUGCCAUUGACCAAGAUCUCCUUUAACAGACAGAAAAAGUAACAUGUUGCUUUUUCCCAAAGAAAUAGGAAGACUGUUUUCCUCAAUGCAAGCAAACAGAUUAAAAAGUCACAGGGAAAAGAUGAGAACCAGAACCAGAAAUGGGAGCUCCAACCAAUGUCACCACUCCUCCAGUGCCAGCUUUACUUCUAGCAGUUCUCAGUUACCAAUGUCCUAAUUUCUUUCGGUGGGGGAAAGCCGACGUGAGAAAAAGACACAGGGGUAGAGCUUUUGCUCAGUGGCCAAGCGCUGGGACAGAACACCUCCAACCCCUAUGUCGGAGGCAAUCACCUCCACCACAAAUUGUCUGUGCGGAUCCGAUACUUGGUGGAUAGAUGCAGAAGUGAACAUGUCACGGUGUGGGUUAUUUCCUGUCUUAUUUUGUAGUUUCUGCUUCGUGUCACCCUGGGUAACUUCACUUCCUCCCUGGUCCUGUCAUCCCCUGUGAUUGUCUGAUGGUUUCCACCUGUGUCCAAUCACCUGCACCUUCCUAGUGUAUUUAAGCAGUGUGUGUCUCUUGUCACUUGUUGCAUCAUUGUCUAUUGUCCUGAAUGUUCGUAGUUCCUGCCUGCUGUUUUGCCCCGGUUCCUGUGUGUGUUUUUGCCCGUUGGCUUUUUGCCCUUUUUUGACUUAAAAUCUUUUUGGUUAAAAGUCUGCGUGUGAGUCCUGCCUUUCCCCGCAUCCCAGACAGAACCUGGAUUUCGGCGUCUUGAAGGAGGUAAGGGCGGUGAGCGUGGAAGCCCCCGCGCUGUAAUUCCUGAUGAACCUCCAAUGGAAAUUGGCAAACCCCAAGAAACAUUGAAGUUGUUUGUGUGAGUUUGGGAAAGGCUAUGGGGUGACAACAGCAAAUUCAGCAGGGUUCAGCUGGAUGCUGCCAUAGGAAAUACUUUAUCCCAGAAAUUAUAUUUUUCGGAACGUGAAACUUCUACCUCUCCGCCGUCCUGAGCAGAGAGUUCAGAAGGCACUGAAGUGGGGACUGGAUGUGCUGCACAUGUUGCUCUUAGUUUCUGGAGAAGAUCAAGAUGUCUCAGAGCAGACUGUUAACCAGAGCCUGGAAGGGCCUCACCAGGUUCUUGUAAUGACCUUUAACUGAAUGCCGUCUUCCAUUCAUCCCCUUCCUUGAUUCAAACCAGGUGCAGACGUCGCUUGGAGAAGAUGGAAGCUCCUUGAAGUAGUUUGAAGGACGUCGCAAUGAGGGGAAAGGGGUAACGGUUCUUAAUUGUGGUUUUGUUUCGGCCUCGGUAGUCAAUGCAGUGUCUGCCAGCUCGAUCAGCCUGGGGAAGAGUUAUCCAAUUGUUCAAGGAGUUCCUCGUCCAUAAUGGACACGCGUCUGCUCCAGAAUCCAGGUAUCAAGUAUUAAUACUGACAGUCAGCUGCAUGAAUAAUGGAGCAAAUACUCUUGAAGGACACUCAACUGCAACAACAUCAGCACAGUAGCCACACAGCUAUAGAAGUAUUCAGAAAUACAAAAAUGUACUGAUUGCAAUCAGUAGGUGUAGCAAAAAGGUCUUCAUUUAUCAAAAUGUUUGGUAAUUGGAUCAAAUUUUGCAUUGAAACAAAAGCCAGUCAACGUGUGUGUAUAGGCAGUGCUUUUGGAACAGUUAGAGUAAACCAAACUGCUUGGAGUAAUGUUAGACAGCAUGCUCAUUAGUUCUCAAUUAUUUGCAUUAUUAUUCAGCAGUGUGUCUAAGUGAGACAAAUAAAUAAGUUCAUGGAGGCAUAGUCCUGUAGUGGUCAUUUUUAUUGAGUAGCUAUGUUAUUACUGUUCAAUAGUUGUUCAUUUACUUUUAAUUAAUUAAUUAAAUUUUUGUAGAGGUACAGUGGAGUCGCAACGGUGUCAUCCUUUGCCAUUACCCUUGACCUGGUAUCAGACGAUAGCACAAGGCCCAUCCAUUAAGUUCUUCUGUCAAGAAAUAUAGGAGUGUAGUUCCCACACCUUAGGAAGAGGAUGGGCUGAAGCCUUAAGAAGACCGAAACUCCUGAAACCAUGGGAUUAAGAGGCAUAUCUUUAAUAAUCAGUAAAUAAAUUGACAUGAAUAAAUACUAUUGUUUGUUGCCCCAAGGAAACAUUAUGCAGUUUGACCACCCAUGUUCAGACAAUACUAUGAUAUGCUGACACAGCACAAGAUCCUUUUUUUAUCUGUAAUGUGAGUACAGCCUCUAUGCCCGCACCUCUUAAAUAAUUCGGGAAGGGAAGAAAGACAGCUGCCUCACAAGAUCCAUGCACUUGAGUUACAACUCUGGAAAUGAUGCUUCCUAAUCUACCACAAACCAUUCAAAUCUACUUCACGACCAAACAUUACGUAGGUGAACAACUCACCUAGUGACAUGCAUACUGACUAUGUAAUUGAUUUCAAAGCCUAACCCCUCCUUAUAGCCUUUAGAGUUGAACUAGAGAAGAGCGACAGUAGCCUUAGCU